UACGUAGGGUGCAAGCGUUAAUCGGAAUUACUGGGCGUAAAGCGUGCGCAGGCGGUUCUAUAAGACAGAUGUGAAAUCCCCGGGCUCAACCUGGGAACUGCAUUUGUGACUGUAGAGCUGGAGUGCGGCAGAGGGGGAUGGAAUUCCGCGUGUAGCAGUGAAAUGCGUAGAUAUGCGGAGGAACACCGAUGGCGAAGGCAAUCCCCUGGGCCUGCACUGACGCUCAUGUACGAAAGCGUGGGGAGCAAACAGG
rnacentral:rRNA from 1 species